rnacentral:rRNA from 2 species
AGAGUUUGAUCCUGGCUCAGAACGAACGCUGGCGGCGUGCUUAACACAUGCAAGUCGAACGGGAUCCAGAGCUUGCUCUGGUGAGAGUGGCGCACGGGUGAGUAACGCGUGGAUAACCUGCCCUGGUAUCUGGAAUAACAUCUCGAAAGGGGUGCUAAUACCGGAUAAGCCCACGGCUCCUUCGGGAGCUGCGGGAAAAGGUGGCCUCUAUUUAUAAGCUACCGUAUCAGGAUGGGUCCGCGUACCAUUAGCUAGUUGGUGGGGUAAUGGCCUACCAAGGCGACGAUGGUUAGCUGGUCUGAGAGGAUGAUCAGCCACACUGGAACUGAGACACGGUCCAGACUCCUACGGGAGGCAGCAGUGGGGAAUUUUGCGCAAUGGGGGAAACCCUGACGCAGCAACGCCGCGUGAGUGAUGAAGGCUUUCGGGUCGUAAAGCUCUGUCAGAGGGGAAGAAAUGGGUCUGGCUAAUAUCCAGAUUCCUUGACGGUACCCUCAAAGGAAGCACCGGCUAACUCCGUGCCAGCAGCCGCGGUAAU